rnacentral:rRNA from 1 species
CCUACGGGUGGCAGCAGUGGGGAAUAUUGCACAAUGGUGGAAACCCUGAUGCAGCGACGCCGCGUGAGUGAAGAAGUAUUUCGGUAUGUAAAGCUCUAUCAGCAGGGAAUAAGAAAGACGGUACCGGACUAAGACGCCCCGGCUAACAACGUUCCAGCAAGCGCGGUAAUACGUAGGGGGCAAGCGUUAACCGGAUUUACUGGGUGUAAAGGGAGCGUAGACGGGUGUGCAAGUCUGAAGUGAAAGCCCAGGGCUCAACCCUGGGACUGCUUUGGAAACUGUGGAGCUAGAGUGCUGGAGAGGUAAGUGGAAGUCGUAGUGUAGCGGUGAAAUGCGUAGAUAUUAGGAGGAACACCAGUAGCGAAGGCGGCUUACUGGACAGUAACUGACGUUGAGGCUCGAAAGCGUGGGGAGCAAACAGGAUUAGAUACCCUUGUAGUC